rnacentral:rRNA from 1 species
CUGGAGGUAUCAGAAGUGCGAAUGCUGACAUAAGUAACGAUAAAGCGGGUGAAAAGCCCGCUCGCCGGAAGACCAAGGGUUCCUGUCCAACGUUAAUCGGGGCAGGGUGAGUCGACCCCUAAGGCGAGGCCGAAAGGCGUAGUCGAUGGGAAACAGGUUAAUAUUCCUGUACUUGGUGUUACUGCGAAGGGGGGACGGAGAAGGCUAUGUUGGCCGGGCGACGGUUGUCCCGGUUUAAGCGUGUAGGCUGGUUUUCCAGGCAAAUCCGGAAAAUCAAGGCUGA